rnacentral:rRNA from 1 species
AUUGAACGCUGGCGGCAUGCCUUACACAUGCAAGUCGAACGGCAGCACGGGGCAACCUGGUGGCGAGUGGCGAACGGGUGAGUAAUGCAUCGGAACGUACCUUUCAGUGGGGGAUAACGUAGCGAAAGUUACGCUAAUACCGCAUAUUCUGUGAGCAGGAAAGCAGGGGAUCGCAAGACCCUGCGCUGAUUGAGCGGCCGAUGUCAGAUUAGCUAGUUGGUGAGGUAAAGGCUCACCAAGGCGACGAUCUGUAGCGGGUCUGAGAGGAUGAUCCGCCACACUGGAACUGAGACACGGUCCAGACUCCUACGGGAGGCAGCAGUGGGGAAUUUUGGACAAUGGGGGCAACCUUGAUCCAGCCAUGCCGCGUGAGGGAAGAAGGCCUUCGGGUUGUAAAGCUCUUUCGGCCGGGAAGAAAUCGCACGGGCUAAUACCCUGUGUGGAUGACGGUACCGGAAUAAGAAGCACCGGCUAACUACGUGCCAGCAGCCGCCGUAACAC